GGGCUAAUGUCGACGUCUGGCAUGUCUCUCUCAUCGGCUUCCGAUAGCUCGGAGAAGUGCAAGCAACCGUCAGGAGCCGAAUCAAUACACAAGACUUUAAUACCAUGAUCACUGGCUAAAUCUUUGACUUUCUCAGCGUAAGCAGCCUGUGUGAUUAUGAGUUUGCUGUUGGAGGCCUUAGCUUGCUUAGCUAUCUCCGCUGGAGUAAAGAAAGGAUUGGCAGCUGUGGCAAUGGCUCCACGAUAUGAAGCUCCAAUAAAGGAGAGCACGAAUUGGGGAGAGUUAUGUAACAGAAGCAUUAUAACUUCGCCUUGUUUAACACCGAGUUUGUUAAGCCCGGAAGCGACUCUACGUGCGGUGAGCUCCACCUCAGCGUAGGUGUAGACAUCGCCGGUGACACCAUUUAUCAAACAGGGCCUUGAAGAGUGGCUAGAAAUAUUCUCAAAUACGUAGGAAUGUAAAGGGAGGUGCUUGGGGAUG
rnacentral:misc_RNA from 1 species